GAGCGUGGUCAUCGCGGCGGCGGGCGCAUUUGAGUGACGAGCGGGACAGGUCAGGAACGGGUAUUUUUCACAGGAAAUGGAACACAGAUUCGACUGGUCCAGGGAGUAUUCAGGCCCAACAGGCCGUGAGCCCGUGACCAGCAUAUAACCCUACCCAGAGCUCACACUAACCGAGCACCGGGCAGAAAAAGAAGAGGCGAAUUCCUCAGUUCCCUGGAGGGAGGGAUGGCUGCCGCCGUCGCGUUGGCGACUCCUCUCCGGCGACUCCUCCGCGCCCCGCACCUGCGCCGAGACAUCCCCGCCCCGUGCUACUUCUUCUCGCGAGGACGGUGUAGCACCGCCCUUGCUGUCGCCGCUGCAGCAGCCAGGGAUUCGGCGAUGAAAGGAAACGUGGACAGGAAUGCAGCCGAGGAAGUCAGGAACAUUCUGGAUAUGCUUAUGCAGGCAGAAAGGGCUUCCCAAAGAAGAGAUGUUUUCCACACCAAUUUUCUUACUCCACCUAUAAUAAAGGAGGCUAUGCUGGCAAUUGAGAAGUUAGCAGACAUAAAAGCAGUAGCUCAGGGUGGAUACCCGCAGGCCGAGCGAUGCCGAAUUUCUGUUGGACACCCAGAUGCUAUGACAAGUAACCCAGAUGUAGUUGCUGCUUUGAGCAUCUCAGGGAAUUUCCGAUUGGAACCCUGCUCUCAUGGUGACUUUCUUGGUGCUAUUCUCGGGACAGGAAUAAUAAGGGAGAAGGUUGGAGAUAUUCUUUUGCAGGAGGAAAGAGGUGCUCAGGUCCUUGUUGAUCCAGAACUUGUUGACUAUCUGAGUUCUACUCUCGAAAAGGUGGGGAAAGUUGGUGUUUCAUGCACUCAGAUUCCUUUGCUUGCUCUAGAAUAUGAACCACCAAGGACCAAGUCAUUUAAAACUGUAGAAUCAUCGCUUAGGGUUGAUGCCUUGGCCAGUGCAGGAUUUAAAAUCUCGCGCACAAAGCUUGCUAGCUUGAUAAGUGGUGGGGAUGUUCGUGUGAAUUGGACUCCAGUUUUGAAAAAUGGAGUUACCCUCAAAUCUGGAGACAUCGUUUCUGUCAGUGGGAUGGGAAGGCUAAAGAUUGGGGACAUUGUGGCUACCAGGAAAGGAAAAUAUGCGGUUGAGUUGAUUAAAUAUUUGUAGGCUUGGGACUGAUCUACAAUACUUUCAGGAUUGAAUUGAAUGUGACCAUCAAAAGCACCCUUUCAACUGCUACUUUGUGAGGGCUUAUUCUGCUCUAAAAAACGAGAGGAUGAAGAAAACGUCCUGUGGCACCAAUACCAGUCAAGGCUUUUUAUCAAAAGGUUAACUCGUAAGGGAUCUCACGAAAUGCAUGUACUUAAAGUCCAUGCUCAAUAUCUUAUUGCUAUAGUUUCCUGCUAGUGCCACUAAAUGUUCUAUCAGAUUUGCAAUCACGCCAGACCAGGGGCCUAAUAACGCAACAGUCGAAUAUGUAGAUCUUUGGAUGUGAUCUCUGUAUGAUGGACCCUUGUUAAGCCCCAAGAAAAGGGGGGACUAAGAUUCAGAUAAUCUUGUUUUUUCUUUUCUUCUGCUCGAAAGAAGGUGCAAGUACGCCCCAGUUCUUGACAACUCUAUAUUCUUCCUUUCAUGUUUUUUUUUUCACAGAAAUAUCCAAUCA